rnacentral:rRNA from 1 species
AUUGAACGCUGGCGGCAUGCCUUACACAUGCAAGUCGAACGGCAGCACGGGAGCAAUCCUGGUGGCGAGUGGCGAACGGGUGAGUAAAGUAUCGGAACGUGCCCAGUCGUGGGGGAUAACGUAGCGAAAGUUACGCUAAUAUCGCAUACGAUCUAUGGAUGAAAGCGGGGGAUCGCAAGACCUAGCGCGAGUGGAGCGGCCGAUAACAGAUUAGGUAGUCGGUGGGGUAAAGGCUCACCAAGCGGACGAUCUGUAGCGGGUCUGAGAGGACGACCAGCCACACUGGGAAUGAGACACGGCCCAGACUCCUACGGGAGGCAGCAGUGGGGAAUUUUGGACAAUGGGCGCAAGCCUGAUCCAGCCAUGCCGCGUGCAGGAUGAAGGCCUUCGGGUUGUAAACUGCUUUUGUACGGAACGAAAAGGUUUGACUUAAUACGUUGGACUCAUGACGGUACCGUAAGAAUAAGCACCGGCUAACUACGUGCCAGCCGCCGCCGUAACAC